rnacentral:rRNA from 1 species
AGUGAACGCUGGCGGUAUGCCUAACACAUGCAAGUCGAACGGCAGCACAGUAAGAGCUUGCUCUUACGGGUGGCGAGUGGCGGACGGGUGAGGAAUACAUCGGAAUCUACUUUUUCGUGGGGGAUAACGUAGGGAAAGUUACGCUAAUACCGCAUACGACCUACGGGUGAAAGCAGGGGAUCUUCGGACCUUGCGCGAUUGAAUGAGCCGAUGUCGGAUUAGCUAGUUGGCGGGGUAAAGGCCCACCAAGGCGACGAUCCGUAGCUGGUCUGAGAGGAUGAUCAGCCACACUGGAACUGAGACACGGUCCAGACUCCUACGGGAGGCAGCAGUGGGGAAUAUUGGACAAUGGGAGCAGGCCUGAUCCAGCCAUACCGCGUGGGUGAAGAAGGCCUUCGGGUUGUAAAGCCCUUUUGUUGGGAAAGAAAAGCAGCAGGUUAAUACCCAGCUGUUCUGACGGUACCCAAAGAAUAAGCACCGGCUAACUUCGUG